ensembl:lncRNA LINC01989 long intergenic non-protein coding RNA 1989
UGGACGAAGCCAUUGGGAAUGCAGGUGGUGAUUGAAAUUAUUCCAGAGGUGAAAUCCCUGUGACUUGGUGAUUGACUGGGUGCAGGGCCUAUGGUUCAUCCUGCAAUAUCAGAGAAUACACAACUGUUGGAAGCUCAUUUGUGCAGAAGCACUAGUUAGACCAAGUCCCAGGAUGGUGGGGACUUGAACUGCCUCAUGCACAUUGUACCCAAGAGCCUGGCCCAUGAAGGUGAAUCAGUGGAUACUUGAAUAAAAAGAAGAAUAUGCGCUGAA